AUUUAAUAAUGAAUUCAACACAUAACAAUCACUGUAACAUCACAAUGAGUAAUUGUAGUCACAUUAAAAAAAAGUGAUUGUAGUAAGGAAUUUGUGAUAAAUACAUUAAAAAAUGAUUUAAUGUAAAAAAAAAAAAACGACAAAACAAACCAAUACAGUGUACAUAACAUAUGCAACCCAUGAAUGAAUAUAGCACAGAGACAACAACAAAAACCUGUUUGGAGAACAGUUGUUUUCCUUGGUAUGUACUGCAUCUAAAGCCCGUAGUACAGCCCUGUCCUGAAGUGCUAUGAUAAUCCAUGAAAUGCAGACAUGAGGACAGACAAUCUACAAUUAAACCACAAAUAAACAUAAUUUUAAUAUUUUGGAAAAUAAUGAAAAAUACUGCAUGAUUGCAUUGAAUAAUAUUAUUGACUACUUAAAUUAUUCUGGUACGACUACCAGAGGUGAUUUUAAAAUCGCAAAAUGUAAUUAUUAAACAUCCUGAUAUAAAUGAUAUCAAAAUACACAGUCUUACUCUUUAACGCAUUUUUAACGCAUUUUUAUUAGCUGUUUGUUUUGUACAAAUGUCAAUUUAAAAAUAUAAUCAUUUACAGCCUUCCAUAUGUCAAAUAAAAACUAUGAUAUAAUUUAAAAUGUGGGUUUUAAAAUGUUUAUACUAAAAUUACUAUUUUCAAAACAACUUUUAGCUUAUGCUGGGAAAAAAAAAGAAGAAUUUUGGGCAUCUCGCAAUUGAAUUGCACAAAAAUAAAAUGAAAAAGUGCAACAAAAAUUACAAAUAAAUAUAUUUUUAAGGAAAGGCAUAUUUGUCAUAUUAAAAUAUCGAUACUAUAAAUAUGUUUUAUUUAUAAAGAGUAUAAAAUGUGUUCUCGCCGUGGAGCAUUUGGAGAUGGCACAAGGGAAAGAGAGGGAACCUGAAGCCAAUGUAAAGCGUUGUUAGGAUGGAGAGCUGUGUUUGGCCUGGUAUGUAAAUAACUAACUAGUAUGGGUUAAUAGCAGCUCUGUGCUCUCAGAUGUAACAUAACAAGAAAAUAUAAAAAACGGUUAAAUAUGCUCUUCUACAGUUCAUCUAAACAAAGCUGAUUAUCUUUUACUAAAAUGUUCUGCAGAAGAUGAGACAAGAGACUAAAAUGUGUAUGAAAAAUAAUAUCACGGUUCCCUAAGGAUUGUAUCUGACCAUCAGUGUCAUUCCUGUCCACCCAGAUAACAAAACAAAGGAAUAAUUAAGUCAGAGACGACGUUGUGCACGCCCAACCCGUCUCGUGCACACGCAUGCCCACCAAAUGUGAAAAUCCUGGCCCAUUCCCCCUGAAACUUGAUGGUUGUUGAACUUAUUUUUAGUGUCAUUUGAUAAGCUUCCCUGGUUGCACAGAGACAUCCCACUGACCCAGCCACUGGUCAUUGUCUAUACUGGUUCCCAUCAAAACCGGGCGAGCUUUGUCAGGUUUCGACUCGAAUAUCCAUUUUGCAUCUGAAGUACUGUAUCCAAAGUGACUGGAUCGUUGGAGCCUUUUCUAUUCAGCUGCUGCCUUUCCUCCCCCACAAUGCUCCCCUCUCGCUGACAUCAUUUUGGGAUUGGUGUCAUGACAGCGCUCUUGAGAAAUCUACAACAAAUAUAUAUAUAUAUACAUAUAUACUACAGCUUUUUUUGGAGGUGGGGUCGACGCGUGCGAGGCUUGGUAACAUCAUUUCUGCAAAUGAACAAUACUUAUCCGUCCGUCGCAUCCGUUGCCUUGGUUUUGCGUUUGGGUUUCGGACAGCCAGGGUGCACCAAACCGUCGCCAAGGAGACAGGAUGGGAUGGCCUCUUUCUCUCCAAAUAAUGCACGAACAGUUUUAGGUCAUUCAAUGUCAAAAGGGCUAAAAAAAAAAAAGAAAAAAAAAAGACGAUCAAAUCUUCACAGGCUGCUGCUUGCUGUUCUCUUUAAUUAUUUUAAUUAAACUUGGAUAUUCUGCUGUGGAAGCUAAAGGGCUGAGACUGGAGAGAGGCAGGGAGGCCCUUGGAGAAUUGGAGACAGAGGGGACGGGUAGCAGUGAAGUGGGAGACAGCUGUAUCUAUAUCUUAAAAACUCUUCAACUGACUGACUGGCAGGUUUAUGGGUUGUGAUGUUGUACGCCUUAGUGAGCAUACAGCAGAUUGCAUCAAAACAUUGGGGAAACACAGCCAAGCACCAUGCCGGGGGCUUCAGGCGCCCAUCCCUCAGAAGUAGUCAGAGUGGAGAGUUGUGGUGGUCUGGUCAGAGGGGCUGUCCUGUCCUGGCCCGGCCCGCGGUGGGAUAACGCUCUAGUAACUCCCCUUGUCCCCAGUGCAUAAUGAAAGAAAGGUGUCUUCACAAAACUAAAGGGCAAUGUCUUAGCUACUGCUUCCAAUUCCUCAGGGCGUCCUGGCUGUCCACAGUUUGUCAUGCGUGUGCACUUCUCAGUGUUAAAAUGACAGGAUCUCCAGUCAAAGGGGGUCCCGCCGGGCAUCUUUCAAACGAUAGUGGAGGGAGAGGAGUUGGAGAGGAUUUGUGACGAGAUGUUGCCAAGAGGCGAUGGACUUGUGCACUGUGUGUCAAGGCCCUCUGGGAGUAUUGCUACUGCCAUGCUAACGGCACAGCCUCACCCGUUCUCUCGCUCUGCAUGUUUCUUUUUUUAAGAUAGCUUCCGUCUGUGUCCAUGAAAUGAGGUUUUCCACAGAAGGCGCAAUAUGGUCAGAAUAUGUUAAGCCUUUAGUGAGCACAAAAAAAGCUAACCAGAUCCGAUCGGCCGCGUUUUGUGCCUCGCUGUUUAUUAGCUUUGGCCUCUUGUGAAGUUUUUAAAAAAAAAGGACAAGUAAAAAAUGAUAAAGUUAUAUCCCUGUUAAGGAAGGACGGAAAUAUGAACAUGUUCUGAUGAGAAAGAUGCUUUUGGAAAUGACAGGAGACAUCAUGGAGAAAGAGAUUCCACCUUGAGCACGAUACUGAGACAAGCAAAUGAAUAGUGGUUUUGGAUACUUCUAGUCUUCUUGGAUAUUAGGUCUUCAAAACACAUAUUUGAAUGUUGAAGACGUUCGUCUUUGUGUUCGUCUUCUAACGGUUCUGCACUCGGUUGAAAUUAAUACACCUCCCCUGAAAAGAGAAACACAUACAUCGUAUUAGUCUUGGAUCAAUAACAUCCCU
ensembl:lncRNA